rnacentral:rRNA from 1 species
GCUUAGAGUUUGAUCCUGGCUCAGGAUGAACGCUGGCGGCGUGCUUAACACAUGCAAGUCGAACGGUCUCUUCGGAGAUAGUGGCGGACGGGUGAGUAACGCGUGAGAAUCUGCCUUUAGGUUCGGGACAACAGUUGGAAACGACUGCUAAUACCGAAUGUGUCGCAAGAUGAAAGAUUUAUUGCCUAAAGAUGAGCUCGCGUCUGAUUAGCUAGUUGGUGGGGUAAAAGCGUACCAAGGCGACGAUCAGUAGCUGGUCUGAGAGGAUGAUCAGCCACACUGGGACUGAGACACGGCCCAGACUCCUACGGGAGGCAGCAGUGGGGAAUUUUCCGCAAUGGGCGAAAGCCUGACGGAGCAACGCCGCGUGAGGGAGGAAGGCUUUUGGGUUGUAAACCUCUUUUCUCAAGGAAGAUAAUGACGGUACUUGAGGAAUCAGCAUCGGCUAACUCCGUGCCAGCAGCCGCGGUAAUACGGAGGAUGCAAGCGUUAUCCGGAAUAAUUGGGCGUAAAGCGUUCGUAGGUGGUUUUGCAAGUCUGCUGUUAAAGCGUGUAGCUUAACUACAUAAUGGCGGUGGAAACUGCAAAACUAGAGUGCGUUCGGGGCAGAGGGAAUUCCUGGUGUAGCGGUGAAAUGCGUAGAUAUCAGGAAGAACACCGGUGGCGAAGGCGCUCUGCUAGGCCGCAACUGACACUGAGGGACGAAAGCUAGGGGAGCGAAUGGGAUUAGAUACCCCAGUAGUC